UGGAGGUGCCGUCUGCCUGGUGGCCCGGGCCCCCUCAAUGCCUCCCGCCUGCGGUGCGCCCAUCGUUGCCUGUUGGCCAUCUCACUGCUGCCUUGCUUGUGCAAAGCUGCGCUAAGUGGCUGUGCCACUGCAGCCUUACACAAUACUUGCACACUGCCGCUGGUCACACAGGCGGCAUGCAUACUCAAGGUGCUUCAUUCAGUACAAGAAGCUUGGAUGAACUGCUUUAAAUAUAACCGUUUAUUCUGGGUUUAGGAAAAGAGUUAACAAGUGAGCUUCAAAGUAAUCGUUGCCAUUCCUUGGAGAACAAGAUGCAUCACAAGAUGAGAAUGCUGUUCUCGUCCUGACAAUAAAACAUGAACAUUGUUCUAGAGAAGGUGAAAAUUAAUUGCAUUAACUCAUUAGAAUUGUAGGGAAAAGCAAUGGCAGGUACAGAAUUAAGAACAAAAUGUAGCAAUACGUGAAAAAUAUCCUGAUUUCAACUGUGAAAAGCAUUUGAAAUGACUGAAUGUGUGAAUCUAUAUAUAAAGACUAGAAGAGAAAUACAGAUAUGAUGCAUAUCAACUAACGUACUAUUUGCUCAAACUUCUGUAGAAAAAGAAGUCUGAAAACUCUAGACUAGUUUUCCCUUUGUUUUUUACCUUUAACAUACUGCAUGAAAAAUAUUUCUGAAAGGAAGCAAUUUUGUAUAAAAACUGUGGUGCCUCUAGGUUCAUGUAAUAAAUAAAUAAAAAUGAAAAAUACAAAAUCACAUUAAAGCCCGAGUUACUGUAAAGACCAAAAAAAAAGUUUUUUAAAGUUGGAGCGUAUAUUUCAGGUGCUCAAAACCACAGUUCUUUUGCAUCUACUGUGCUUUUCUUGUAAAGUUGACAUACAUUUAUCUGAUAAACUUGUUCCAUAUUUUUGAUGCCUGUUAUGCCUCACCUUUUCUUGUAUGAAUUUUAGAGUAAAUCUGUA